GAGGGUGUAGCUCAGUGGUAGAGCAUAUGCUUAGCACGCAGGAGGUCCUGGGUUUAAUCCCCAGUGCCACUA
rnacentral:tRNA from 1 species